AUUGAACGCUGGCGGCAGGCCUAACACAUGCAAGUCGAACGGUAACAGGAAGCAGCUUGCUGCUUUGCUGACGCGUGGCGGACGGGUGAGUAAUGUCUGGGAAACUGCCUGAUGGAGGGGGAUAACUACUGGAAACGGUAGCUAAUACCGCAUAACGUCGCAAGACCAAAGAGGGGGACCUUAGGGCCUCUUGCCAUCGGCUGUGCCCAGAUGGGAUUCGCUAGUAGGUGGGGUAACGGCUCACCUAGGCGACGAUCCCUAGCUGGUCUGAGAGGAUGACCAGCCACACUGGAACUGAGACACGGUCCAGACUCCUACGGGAGGCAGCAGUGGGGAAUAUUGCACAAUGGGCGAAAGCCUGAUGCAGCCAUGCCGCGUGUAUGAAGAAGGCCUUCGGGUUGUAAAGUACUUUCAGCGGGGAGGAAGGGAGUAAAGUUAAUACCUGUGCUCAUUGACGUUACCCGCAGAAGAAGCACCGGCUAACUCCGUG
rnacentral:rRNA from 1 species